rnacentral:rRNA from 1 species
CCUACGGGUGGCAGCAGUGAGGAAUAUUGGUCAAUGGACGAGAGUCUGAACCAGCCAAGUAGCGUGAAGGAUGACUGCUCUAUGGGUUGUAAACUUCUUUUAUAUGGGAAUAAAAUGUUCCACGUGUGGGAUUUUGUAUGUACCAUAUGAAUAAGGAUCGGCUAACUCCGUGCCAGCAGCCGCGGUAAUACGGAGGAUCCGAGCGUUAUCCGGAUUUAUUGGGUUUAAAGGGAGCGUAGGUGGAUUGUUAAGUCAGUUGUGAAAGUUUGCGGCUCAACCGUAAAAUUGCAGUUGACACUGGCAGUCUUGAGUACAGUAGAGGUAGGCGGAAUGCGUGGUGUAGCGGUGAAAUGCUUAGAUAUCACGAAGAACUCCGAUUGCGAAGGCAGUUCACUAAACUACAACUGACACUGAGGCUCGAAAGUGUGGGUAGCAAACAGGAUUAGAUACCCUAGUAGUC